rnacentral:rRNA from 1 species
UACGUAGGGUGCGAGCGUUGUCCGGAAUUAUUGGGCGUAGAGGGCGCGUAGGCGGCCAUGCGUGUCUUCCGUGAAAUCCCUCGGCUUAACCGAGGACGUGCGGAAGAAACUGCAAGGCUCGAGUCCGGAAGAGGGGGGCGGAAUUCCCAGUGUAGCGGUGAAAUGCGUAGAUAUUGGGAGGAACACCAGUGGCGAAGGCGGUCCCCUGGGCCGGAACUGACGCUGAGGCGCGAAAGCGUGGGUAGCAAACGGG